UGCUCUUUUGCAUCAUGUAGGUAUCUAAACUCAGUUUACCCAAUAUGUUGAUAUUCAAUAGUUUAAUUUUAUUUCUGUAUAUAUAUAUCUAUUUUACUUGUGACUCUUCUCCAAAAAUGGGUAACAGUUUCACCAAAGAAUGCUUUAAGUUCCUUGUAAUGCUCUUUUAGAGCUCAAAAUACCUCUGAACUUUAGACAUGAUAAGAUUGAGCGGAAAGGCUUGAUGAAUCUUAUCCCUAAGAUUUGUCUUGAAUUACAAUUAGGAAAUUCACUCCAGUGGAAAUACGCCAUCCAAUUAGGCAAGUCUGGUGAAUCAUUUGUUUAAAUAUAAGCAAAUGAGAUGUAGACUAGCCAGAUUUCUCCAGACUGUGCCCUAGUAAAAUGUCACCUGGGUGAAAUUUUAGAUCAGUCACCAAAUUUGGGCGACAGAUGCAAGAGGAUUUUCAUUUCACUUUAAUAGGAUCAUUCUAUGGAGUUAAAUAGGUUUUAUUGCUCAAAACAAAAAAAUAUAUAAAUGUCAUCAAAGUGGAAGGAACACAUUUUAACCAUUAAGUUUGCCAUGAGAUAUCUUACUUGUUUUUUAGGUAAUUAGUUACCAGUGCUAAUGAAAUGAAUAACAAUCUUUAACUUAUUUGAUGAUGCAUCACUGGGGAAAACAGCUAUACUUUUGCCAUCCUUUGUCUCUCAGUGAUAUAAACACUUUUG
rnacentral:lncRNA from 1 species